UACGUAGGGGGCAAGCGUUGUCCGGAUUUAUUGGGCGUAAAGAACGUGUAGGCGGCCGUACAGGUCAGCUGUGAAAACUCGAGGCUCAACCUCGAGACGUCGGUUGAAACCGUACGGCUAGAGUCCGGAAGAGGAGAGUGGAAUUCCCGGUGUAGCGGUGAAAAUGCGCAGAUAUCGGGAAGAACACCCGUGGCGAAGGCGGCUCGCUGGGACGGGUAUUGACGCUGAGACGCGAAAAGCGUGGGGGGAGCAAAACAGGGAUUAAGAAAACCCCCUUGUAGUCC
rnacentral:rRNA from 1 species